rnacentral:rRNA from 1 species
UACGUAGGUCGCAAGCGUUGUCCGGAAUUAUUGGGCGUAAAGAGCUCGUAGGCGGUCUGUUGCGUCCGCUGUGAAAACUCGGGGCUUAACCCCGAGCCUGCAGUGGAUACGGGCAGACUAGAGGUAGGUAGGGGAGAAUGGAAUUCCCGGUGUAGCGGUGAAAUGCGCAGAUAUCAGGAGGAACACCGAUGGCGAAGGCAGGUCUCUGGGCAUUAACUGACGCUGAGGAGCGAAAGCAUGGGGAGCGAACAGG